CUACGGGGCGCACCAGUGAGGAAUAUUGCACAAUGGGGGGAACCCUGAUGCAGCAACGCCGCGUGGAGGAUGACGCAUUUCGGUGUGUAAACUCCUUUUAUAUGUCAAGAAAAUGACGGUAGCAUAUGAAUAAGCACCGGCUAACUCCGUGCCAGCAGCCGCGGUAAUACGGAGGGUGCAAGCGUUACGCGGAAUCACUGGGCGUAAAGGACGCGUAGGCGGGUUGGAAAGUCAGGUGUGAAACCCUACAGCUUAACUGUAGAACUGCACUUGAAACUUCUAAUCUAGAGUAUGGGAGGGGGAGAUGGAAUUAGUGGUGUAGGGGUAAAAUCCGUAGAUAUCACUAGGAAUACCUAAAGCGAAGGCGAUCUCCUGGAACAUUACUGACGCUAAGGCGUGAAAGCGUGGGGAGCAAACAGGAUUAGAUACCCCUGUAGUC
rnacentral:rRNA from 1 species